GACGAACGCCGGCGGCGUGCCUAACACAUGCAAGUGGAGCGACGAACCAGACUUCGGUCUGGGGCCAAGCCGCGAACGGGUGAGUAACACGUGGGUAACCUGCCCCGAUGAUCGGGACAACCCGGGGAAACCCGGGCUAAUACCGAAUGUGGUCGCGGUCCGUGAGGACCGUGACGAAAGGAAGCUUCGGCCUCCGCAUCGGGAUGGGCCCGCGGCCCAUUGGCUUGUUGGUGGGGUAAUGGCCUACCAAGGCAUCGAUGGGUAGCGGGUCUGAGAGGACGAGGAGCCACACUGGGACAGAGACACGGACCAGACUCCUACGGGAGGCAGCAGUGGGGAAUCUUGCGCAAUGCGCGAAAGCGUGACGCAGCAACGCCGCGUGGGGGAAGAAGGCUCUCGGGUCGUAAACCCCUUUCAGUUGGGACGAAGCUUCGCCGGUGAAUAGCCGGCCGGAGUGACGGUACCUUCACAAGAAGCCCCGGCUAACUACGUGCCAGCCGCCGCCGUAAGAC
rnacentral:rRNA from 1 species